UUUUCUAAGCCAGCUUCUAGCGUUUAGGUUCAUUUAGGUGUUUAUUUGGACUACCAUUGGUCCAUGGCGUCAUAUUUGUCGGUGGGACCCAUCAGUUUGUACGGUAGAUACACUGUUGCCUGCCUUGGUCGCAACAGGGGGAGUCGGCGGUUCUUGAUCUCGGGAGAUCGCCACGUUAUGCCUAUUUCGCCUUCGCCUGCUCCAAUGCCCUCUCCCCUUCCUGUCUGCCGGAAGAGUACGCGUUGCCUGGUCGGCACGGGAUCUCGGAUCCCGGUGACGAGGGCAUACGCUUCUUGGAUUGGCUCGGCUCUGCCUGCACAUUGGUUUGGCAGGAGGAAGCCCAGGGAAGAUGGAACACCUUUCUCAGGCCAGGUACCUCUACUUAUGGCAAUUCAAAUGGAGAACACUAAAUACUUUAAUGAAACUGGCUAGUAGUUUGAGGAACCAUUUCAGGUUGCAUCUUGGGUUUUUCUUAUACGAGCAUCCCCUUGUCGGAGAGUAUGCUCUAUCUGAGACACAAAUGGAUCUUCUCCCUUAUGGUCUAAGGUGACUCAGAUAUGGUUAAAUAGGGAACCCUUAUUUAAAUUCAAGAAAAAAGGACAAGGAUGGCAUCAUCUUGACGUCCACAGUUGCAAAAACACAGUUGGACUCGAAACAGUUAAGACAAUGGGUAGUGAAUAUGGGAUACAUAAUGCUGAUGUUUCUCACCCGUAUGAUGCGUAGCUGCAGGUGAUCUCAUAUAUGCUAUUAAGGGAAGCAGAGUCUCUUUGUCGUGUAUCUAUGUAGAGAAAAAGAUGAGAAUAGAUAACACUCGAGGAACCAAAAGUCCUAUAUAAUCUUCCUCGCCACCGUUCCAGUCAGAUCUAUUGGGAACUGCUUCAAACAAAGCUGAGCUUCAAUUUCUCUUGUAUGGCAGAGUGGCUUAAUAGAGAUUGGUGAAGGGAAGGGGAACAACAGGGUAGAUCAACUUCUUUUCAGUAUUGCCUUGAUUAUUGCUACCUCCCUCUAGUAUAUCUAGAAGAACCGGAAUGAUUCUAAGUAGCGACAACUGCUUUACUGAUGGGAGAGGUACCAAUGUGAAUGAUUUAAGCUCCACCCACCAGCCUUCAUCCGCUAAUCAAGCUGAGUGCAUUCAACCUCUUCGAGAGCGUUUUGCGGUGGAUCUUUUUCAAACCUGGAUGUAAUUGCAGAACCGGUUAUUGCUUUGUGGAUGGGAAUGACACUAUAGUCACUCGAGGAAGCAGUACACAUCAGGCCUCCACCCCACUCCAAGCGGAAUGCUGAGCCAUUUGGUACGCUCCCACCAAAGCUUCACAAAUGACUUAUCGUAAUACCAUUGUCAAAUCUGACUCUUUAGAGACUCUGCUGAUUUGUAAUAAAGUUGGUCGACAUGUAUUUUUUGUCAACUCCAAUCAGGCAAGAUUUUUUUGUCUUCCUCCAAUCAAGCAAGACUGCUACCGUUCCGGUUCUUACUUGAAAGUUGAAUUUUCUUUUAGCAAAA